rnacentral:lncRNA from 1 species
CUAAAAACUCUUCUUGUUAUACAUCAAAAUUAAUGAAUGUGCUUUUGUAGAGGACGUAAAUGUGUCAACGAAUCAGACCUUCACUAGUUAAAACCAUCCCUACUAAUGCUGUUUGAAAAGUAAGUACUAAUAUGAUUAAUGAUUGUACAGAAAAAUAAGUACUAAUAUGAUUAAUGAUUGUACAGAAAAAAAUAUAUUAUCUGAACAGCUCAUCGUGCAUGUUGAUUGAUGUAAAGUGAAUUUUUUUUUUUUUGGUAAACUUGGGAAGGUGGAACUUGGGAAGGAAUUUCACAUUCUUGGGGUGAUCAAUAUAAUGAGAUUGUAAGUCUAGUUAAACAUGCUUAAUUAAACAUUUAAGCAUCUUUUAUUUAUUUGUUUUCAUUCUUUAUUCCUUCUUAAUUUGUUGUAAUUGUUUGGAACAACUAGCAAGACAAAUCUAGCUAGCUAGCAUUCACUGCACAAUGAAAGAUUAUUCGUAUUUGGAAAUGAAUAAUUAGUUAAAACCUGUAUUAUUAGGCAAAUGGGAUCGUAAAUAUUUGUAUCUUAAACCUUCACAGUCAGAGAUAUUCGAGUCAAUUAGUUAAAAGCUAUGAAAAUUGUGAAUGUGACAGACUACGUACUAAAGUCUGGAUUAUUUGAGAGAGAGAGAGACAUGAGUCUCGCAGCCGACUGGUCCCUCAUCUGAGCAGAAAGAACCAUAGAAAGUUAGGCAACCACGCACAUUUUCAAAGAUGUCGAUCAUGAAAAAUAUUUCACAAAUAAAUUCAGGGAAGACUUUCUGUUUAAAUUAUUAACCCAGAAAUAAAGCUCCAUCUCUUGGUAGCUAGCCUUUCUGCUACGUACUCUUGUUGCAUUAAACUAAACCUUAUUAAAGCAAAAAUAAUCACACCUUAGGUGAUAGGUUUAGGGAAAUGGUUAAUGAUUUUAGCAAGUUCUUGUUUAUUUUUUAAUUUUUAAUUUUUUUUUCUUUAAUCAAUUUAAAUGCUAAAAUUAAACAACGAUGUGCACCACAAAUAAGAGGGUGUGUGAAAAUUAUAUCUCUAUAUCUAGAGAAAAUUAUGGCAAUGGUUCUUUAACUUUAAUAAAAUUGAAGUAAUGGUCUCUCAAAUAAAAAUUUAUGAUCAUUGGUCCCUUAAUUCUUUCAAACAUGCAACUAUAGUCAUUUUCAUCAAUUCCAUAAGAACGUCCAUCAAAAUGAGUCACGUUUCAUGCAAUGAGGCUGAAUCGAAGGACAAAUAUGAAAAACCAAAUGAGAAAAAUUGUAGCAGUGGUCUCUCAACUCUAACCCAACUAGAGAAAUAGUCUCUCAACUUUAACUCAAUUAGAGUAAUGAUCCUUCAACCUUAACGUAAUUGUAGCAAUGGUUAUUCAAACAUAACUUAUUUUGACAGAAUUCUAACGGAGUUAACAAAAAAAUCAUAGCUGCACGUUUUGAUGAGUCAAGAGACCAAUGAUCAUGGAUUUUUAGUUGAAGAACAAUUGCUCUAAUUGGGUUAAAGUUGAGAGGCAAUUGCUACAAUCUUCUCCUAUAUUUAUUUAUUAUUAUCUACGUUUACAAUGAACCAUCUACUCCAUGAAGCAAGAUAUUAAAAAAGGACAAGGAUUGUCUGCCCUUCCAUUUUCCAUGCCCUCCUGUUUUGUGUGAUCACAGUUAAGCCACGUUAACAUUUUAUAUAUUUUUUAUAAAGAUAAUAAAACAAAAAUGAAUAGUAAUAUAAAAUAUUGACGUGGCUUAACCGUGACCACACAAACAAGAGGGCAUGGAAGGGCAUGGAAAAAGGAAGGGCAGACAAUCCUUUCCAUUAAAAAAAGGGCAGGGCUUAACAAAAUUCAGUCAAAGGCCUCCUUGAUCCAAACAUUAAUUGAUAAUCUAUUCAAACAGUGGCCCCAUUAGUCUUAUUUUAACAUUAAUCUUAUUUUUUACUAAGGUAAUUAAUAAUUGCAAGUGAAAUUUGGCAUGAUUACCGUGGUGUUAAAGGUAAAGACCAAAGCUAUAUAAAGGGUGAGAAGGCUUAGCUUAAGAGGCAGAAAUCCCAUUCUUAACAAAGAUGGGGAAAAUGGGGCCUUCACAAGUGACCUCUCUUGUGGUCACUAUACUAGUGGCACUAGUCUCUCUCACAUUGCCUUCAGAAACUUCAGCUAACUACCCUUACUCAUCUCCACCACCACCGGCUUCUCCUCCCUACCACUACAAGUCACCACCACCUCCUUCUCCUUCUCCUCCAGUGUACUCACCACCUAAGCAUCCCUACCACCCCAAGUCACCACCACCAUCACCAAAGCCUUACCACUACAAGUCCCCACCACCACCUCCUCCUCCAGUGCACUCACCACCCCCACCAAAGGAGCCUUACCACUACAAGUCUCCACCACCACCACCCAAGAAACCUCACCAUCACAAGUCUCCUCCACCACCACCCAGGAAGCCCUACCACCCGGUGCACUCACCCCCACCACCAAAGAAGCCUUACCAUUACAAGUCUCCUCCACCACCACCCAAGAAGCCCUACCACCCGGUGCACUCACCCCCACCACCAAAGAAGCCUUACCAUUACAAGUCUCCUCCACCACCACCCAAGAAGCCCUACCACCCGGUGCACUCCCCACCACCACCAAAGAAGCCUUACCAUUACAAGUCUCCUCCACCACCACCCAAGAAGCCCUACCACCCGGUGCACUCACCCCCACCACCAAAGAAGCCUUACCAUUACCAAUCCCCACCACCACCACCACCACACAAGAAGCCUCACCACCCAGUUCACUCACCACCUCCACCUAAGAAGCCUUACCACUACACGUCUCCCCCAC